rnacentral:lncRNA from 1 species
GAUUGGAAAAUACAUGUUCUUUUAUACAUAUUUUACUGCAUAAUUACUAUUUUUAUAUACACCAGGAGAACGAGCAAAACAAGUUUAUUUUAUUUACCACUGUAUAUUCACUAGCAUUGAUCCUGGCAAUAAAUAUUGAAUUAAGUAAGUUAAUCAAGUAUAUUUGAAGGGGGAAAAGUACAGGAAUAAACAGUGUACCUAGAUUUUCAUUGUGAAGGGAGUAGAUGCCCUAAUUAUGAGAGCUAUUAGUAUCCAUUUAGGCUGAUUCUUACCCAUACUUACUAACAAUCAUUUAGCAUGACACAAAAAAGAAAGCAAUUACACAUUUGCUUACCAAUUUGUUUAUACUCUAAAUAGAAAAAUAGAACAUGAAAUUUCAAAGUAUUUGAUAAAUUAAGACUUCUAUGUGGCAUAUCUUGUGAAGAAUGCAAAAAAGCCAGCUAUAACUGAUGGAAUAUACAUUUUAAAUUAUGAUCUAACUAUAAGAGGAAAUAUUUUAUAAAAGAACUAAAGUGAUAACUGAAGGAAGUUAAAGCAACAUACGUUUGCAUUUUUAAUUUAAAUGUAAUGAAAUAUAAAUAUAAUGAUAUUACUGGAUAUUUUAAUUAUUCCCAUUAGAGGUUCUAAUUUUCCAGUAGGUUUAAGAUAAUGAUGAUAAAGGAACAAAAGAAAACUUUAGAGUGGAAAAUAAAGGCACAUAUAUUCUACAGCUAAAAAUAGCAGGUAAAAUUCAAGUGGACUGUUAAAACAUGCCAAAGUCCUCUUUUAUGUUUUAUUAUUAAUAACUCAACCCACUUAAAUGAAUACCUCUAUAUACAUGAUAUAUGAGCAGUUUGAUCACAUACUUUCUCCUGAUGAGAGCUAAAGUUUACAAAGAUAGCUUUUGCUUUAGAACUUCUAGAACUUUGCUUUUUGUGGGUUUUAGCUCUGCUUAACAAGCUUAUUCCAUCUCCACAGACUCCCAGCCAUUGCCCCAUUAGCCUCACAUCUGGCAGGCUUUUCCCCUUUGUUUGCACUUUUUUGUCUGAAGAUUUCUCCUUUCCCGCCGCCUUUUGUGGCUUCGCUUCCACUUUUGCAGAAGCAGGUUUAGCUGACAACCUCGCCGACCUCCUCUUGGGCUCCUCCUUCGCCGCCCCUUAGGUGGAGCUGGCCUUCCUCUUGGGCAUCUUGGGGGCGGGGCGGGUGCGUGCGGGUGCCUAUGGGCCGCCACUCACUGAGAGCCUUCGAGAAGCUGGUCUGCCUCUACAUUUUAUUUUUAAUUUUUUAAUUUUAAUUAUUAUUUCUUUUGAGAGAGACAGAGACAGCGUGUGAGCAGGGUAGGGGCAGAAAGGGAGGGAAAGACAUCGAGUCUCAGGCAAGCCCUACAUUUUUAAUUAUUCUCAGCAAGAGUUCUAAAGCUAUGGCAAAGAUUGGGCUAUUUCAUUGGUGUUCAAAUCAAGAGUCUUUUGAUGAAAAUGAAAAUGGUUAGAUAAAGCACUGAAAAUAAUACAAAAAAGGAUCUAUCUCUGAGAAAAUUGAGAAUAUGGAGUGAAUGCUUCAGUUAAUGGAUGAAAGAAAAGCAUAUGACUCAGGAAGAAGGAGCCAAAUGGAGGAGAUUGGAUUCUUGUUACUGAUGGAGAGCUUAAGUGAGUAAUCAUGGAAUCUUGCUUAAUGGUUCCUUGAAUUGUAAUGAAUUUAGGUCUGCUCUCCACAAAGCCCUGGGUAAUUUGUUCUCUUAUUUGACUAAUGCAUGCUUUCUUACUUUACCUGCCCAUACCCUACCUCACUCUUGAAGUAGCUGUGGAAGAGUAUAUGUUUAGCAAUAGCACAUAUUUAAAAGAGUCUAUGCCUUUAGUAUGGUUGUUUGGGAAAUAGAAUUUAUCCAAAAACAGAAAAUUUGAACUUGAUUAUGGCAUUACUAUAAGGUGAAAAAUACAAUUUCUAUACUCAACAUGGGGUGGAAGUUGAAUUACUUACCACAGGCAUUAGUGGAACAACUUAAAAAUCCUAUAUAUUCUCUUAUUACGCAGGAGUGUGGUCACGGAGAUAAAAAAUGACAACUACAACUGUGCACCCUAGAAAGCAGGGCAAAAUAAUUCAAGAUUGACCUCAGAGUGCUCUUCCUAGGAGUUCUUACCAGCUAAAAACGCAGCAUGGUGGGUGUUAGCCCUCAUCAGGUUGGCAAUCAUAUUUAUAACCUAGAGACUCACAUACAAAAAGGAAACAAAAAGUAGCCUAUCAGUAGAGUAACGCAUAAGGUUCAUAAGAUUCACUAGUCUUAUCACAUACUCCACUGUGCAAGUGUGUGGUAAAGCGCCAGCCAGGGUCAUCAUAUUAAGUGGCUGCAAUGCUGCCUGGCAGUAUUUCUGAAAUUUUGAUCUUUACCAAAAGAUGGCACUGCCAGUGUUCUGUUUGUACCACUGGUUUUACAUAGGUUACGUUGGUAGUGAUCAUCUUCUCUAGACUGAAGACUGCUAAAUGAUAAUAUCUAGACUGGGCUGGGAAUAAAACUAGAAGACACAUGGAAAACUGGAGUUUG